GCCCAGGUGGUGAAAUUGGUAGACACGCUAGCUUGAGGGGCUAGUGGCCACUUUUUCGGCCGUGGAGGUUCAAGUCCUCUCCUGGGCACCA
rnacentral:tRNA from 1 species